UGUGAAGUGUGUGUGUGUGUGUGUGUGUGUGUGUGCGCAUGUGCGCGCGCGCACACACACACACACUUUCUCACA